AACGAACGCUGGCGGCAUGCCUAACACAUGCAAGUCGAACGAGACCUUCGGGUCUAGUGGCGCACGGGUGCGUAACGCGUGGGAACCUGCCCUUAGGUUCGGAAUAACUCCCCGAAAGGGGUGCUAAUACCGGAUAAUGUCUUCGGACCAAAGAUUUAUCGCCUUUGGAUGGGCCCGCGUUGGAUUAGCUAGUUGGUAGGGUAAAAGCCUCCAAGGCGACGAUCCAUAGCUGGUCUGAGAGGAUGAUCAGCCACACUGGGACUGAGACACGGCCCAGACUCCUACGGGAGGCAGCAGUGGGGAAUAUUGGACAAUGGGCGAAAGCCUGAUCCAGCAAUGCCGCGUGAGUGAUGAAGGCCUUAGGGUUGUAAAGCUCUUUUACCCGGGAUGAUAAUGACAGUACCGGGAGAAUAAGCUCCGGCUAACUCCGUG
rnacentral:rRNA from 1 species